GAUAUCCGCGCCGCGACUCUACCGCAUCCCCUUCCCUCCCUCCUUUACCCGUACACGGUGCACGUUGCCAUCGCCUUCUUCUCGCAUACAACAAACACCUGCAUACAUAUAUUUAUAUAUACGCGUGCAAACGCUUGCAGUGAUAUCGCGUCGCUCACCCGACAACCGUAGUGGGUUUCGACUGCUUUGCAUUGCCUGUGUGUGUUUUUUUUUUCUCCCGCGCUUCUCUCUAAUCUUCUUCCUCCUUUGCGUUUAACGGAGCCAUGACGAUGAGUCUGAAGUCCAGCACGUGCCGCAGCUUCGUGCGCGUGCGCCCCUUCACGGCGUCUGAGGCGAAGGUGUGCCCCGAGGACAGCGCCAUCCCCCGCGGCAUCCUCCAAUGGGACGGCAAUAACAUCAUCUCUGUCCUCGACCCUCAAAACUACUUUGAGGUGCGCCGCAACGCCGUAUUCGCGGUCAGCGAGGUGCUCUGGUCAUUUCAGGAGCCCGGAGAGGAGGCGUUGAAGUCUUCGAAUAAGAAGAGGCCCGCCACACAGCAGGAUGUUUACAAUCGUGUCGUGGCGCCGAUGAUACCGGCGAUCGUGGAGGGCUACAAUACCGCCUUCUGCGUCGCCGGUGCCAGCAGUAGCGGCCGCUUCUACACCCUCUAUGGCGGCGAGGCCGAAGGCGCCCACCGCGGCAUUUUGCCCCGCUUUGCUGAGGACAUCAUUUCCUCCUUCAAAAUGAACGCGCAAACCAACAGCUCCCUCAGCGUGGAACUGGAGGCGGUGGACAUCUCCGGUGAGACCUACGUUGACCUCCUCGCCACGGGCCGGCACGGUGGCAGCAUCCAGACUUCCGCAGAUUCACUGAAGCUGCUAUCGACCCCCAGCGGGCCGCGGCUGGUGGGUGUCAACAGCGUCGAUGCAGAUAGCACGCCGGAGCUGCUAAAGGUGAUUCAGCAGCUCUACCGCAUUGUGGAAAAGCGGAACAGCACACACACCGUCUCCUUCCGCUUCACAGAAACGUUCGAGUUUGAGGAUCCGGAGAACGUGAACCAGUCCGUGAGCAAGUCACGUCGCGUGCAGGUGCUGUUUGUGCUCCUGCGCAACAUGCCGUCCGCCUUCCAGCGCUGCAUCGAUGUCGCCGUGGAGCACGACAGCGGGGAGAAUCCGCUGGCGAAGGUGCCGGUACGCGAGAGUGCCUUCACGAAGCUGUUCCCAUCGCUGCUGCAGCAGGGCUUCCAUCUGAACAUGAUCUCGUGCGUCAGCCCGUAUUACGAGCAUAUGCGAGAAGACAUCAACACGCUUCAGUUUAGCGUGAAGGUGAAGAAGCUGAAGGGCAACCCGCAGCUGCUCCACGAUGAGAGCUUCGUGGAGAUGCGCCGGUUGGCGGACGAGGUAAAGGACCUGCAGGUGGAGGAGAGAAAGACGCAUGAGGCGCUGUCGGUCGUGCAGAACGAGCUGAACGUGCGGGAGGUGGAGUUGAUGAAGCAGGAGGCUAACUAUAACAAGACGACGAACGAAAUCACUGAGUCGCACAAACAGGUAAAGCUGGCGACGAUCGGCCGAAACAUGGAGGCCGAACGCUCGAACCGUGCGCGCAAGCAGAUGAACACGGAGCUGAACAAGAAGCGGGCAGAGAUCAAGGAGUUCCAACAGAUGCAGAUGUCCCUCGACGCGGCGUCGAAGAGGCAGAUGCGCGACGCGGACGACGCGAAGGUGCGCGCGGAGGCAGUGGAGGCCAUGUUGAAGAAGCAGAAGGCGAACACUGCCAUCUACGAGGAGCGCCUCAACGAGUACAGGGAGGAGGACAGGAAAACAGAGAGCAUUGAGGCCUUUAACGUUGCCUCUCCUGAUGAGCAGCGGAGGAUGCUCAUCAGCGAGUCGGAUGAGAAGAAGAAUGCGGACGCCGAGAUUCAAAGGAUCGAGCGAGAGCGCUCCACUGCGAGGGAGCUAGACAAAACCGAAGAGCGAAUGCGCGCAAUUCAAGCAGAAUACGACAUCGCCUAUAAAGCUGCAGCGCCGAGUCGGGAGAAGGCGGAGCUGGAGGAGGAGAUCGCCAAGUAUGAGAAAGAGAUAUCCGAGACACAGAGCGAGAUUCGCCGCCUGCAAGAUGAGAUCGACAAGAAAAAGUCGCAGUGCCAGUGCGACCUCAUGUAGUGCGGCAGCUCUGACGUUCUUUCUUCGAGUACUCCGCGUGUACGAGUCUCUGUGCGUGCACAGGCACACACGCACACACAGUCCCCUGUACAUUCCCCAAGGCGCAUCGUCGACUUGCCUUCGUUCAGUGCGUUGUCGCUUUUUUUCAUUAUUAUGAUUUUCGGUAGCUUGCCCUUUUUUGUUGUUUGCGUUUCGCGUUGUCUCUCACUUUCUUUGCUGUUGUUUCGCCACAUCUGUUGAGCAUUCACGAGCAGUACGGGCAUGAAAAUUCGAACAGAGCACGGGGAGAGCGUGCUCAGAUGCACUCGCUCGGCAUUCUUGAUGGCCGUCCGCUAGUCCCGUUGCCCCUCCUCCUUGAUGCUUCCUGGUCGCUAGAGUUGGCAAAUCGCCGGCGCAAGACCAGUAAUGGAAGGUGCGGCACACGUAGACGUGGAGGUUUCUUGCGAUGAUGUGUUGUUUUCUCCUCCUUUUCCCCCAACGUGUCUGUAGUGAUGCCGGGGCUUUGCCGCGCCCAUUAUGUGUCUCCUUUUCGUUUGUUUUUCGUUGCUUGCCUUUCCUCGUCCUCGUGGCUUGCUUUUCUUUUUAGGUUUGCUUCCUGUACCGCUGCCUCUCUCACCUGUACGCAUUCAUGCAUAUGUUCUCGCUUUUAUUUUGUCUUCUCCGUGUGCGCGGGUGUGCGAUGGGGUGCCGAUUGCUUGCCAUGUCGGCAGCUUUCACUCACUGUGCUCCUUGUCUCACCUCCCCCUCACCCCCACCCCCUUACCACAUCCUCAUCUAGAUGUGGUCGUGUGUGUUUUUCUUUGUUCAGUUACGCAGAAACCAUCUAGGCACACACACACACGCACGCACACGCACGCGCGCACGCACGAGGAGAGCGGAAUGUACAACAGCGCAUGUUAAGUUUUCUUUUUUUUCUGUCGCUGAUGCCUUCGUGAUUUGGUGGUGCACACACCUUCUCUGUGGACUCGACAAACACUGCGUCCUCCCGUCUCUAUGUGUCUUUUUUUUUUAUUCUGGUUCUUCUCUCAUUCUCCUUCAUCUGUGCCUCGGCUUUAAGAGUAGACCGCGUCGCUGCGUCGGCGUGUGUGCAUGUGCGUGUGGGCGUGUGCGUGCGUGUAUGCUUCGAGUGCCCGCUCCGGCUUUCCUCCUUGCCGUGGAUCCUUUUUGACUGUUGUGCUGGGCUAGCGGGGAGGAAGCGGGGGAGAUGCGCACAGACAAGAAAAGAAAACAAAGGCGCAUUUGAUUGUUUCUCGCUUGGCCUGUCGUUUUUUCUUUUGUGUGUGUGUGUGUGUGUGUGUGUGUCACAUUCGGACUUGCGUGCGGGGCGCAUUGUGCGUUGCGGCUCAAGCACGUUUCGCUUUCUUUCGAUGCUUCGGCUUCUUCGCAGAAGAGCCACAAAGAGAGGGAGAGGGAGUGAUACGCCGAUGUGUGGAGGGUGACAACACACAGGUGCCUCCGCCCUCACCCUCACGCCGUACACAAAGCAUUUAUGCCUUUCUUUUGCCGAGCUCUCUUCCCAUGUUCCCCCCUUUCCUGCCUCACAAGCGGCCAAGAUACAUCCACAAACGCGCACGCACAGACCUGUAGCCCUAUUUUUGUCUUCACUGUCGUGCGUUUUUUCUUGGGCGCAGCCACCACGCCAUCAUUCUUUAGAGAGCGCUUCAGCGUGUGUGCGACUACAUUGAAUAGAACGUAUCCUCACUUCGAAACAACACCCUUCGUUAAGCGCGAAACGCAGAGUUCUGUAGAGGUGAUGUGUGGGUCCUCACACGCCCCCCCCCUGCCUCAAGUAUGUAGACGAAGGAAAGGACUCACAGUCCUUCGAUGGGGGACGGGACCACAAGCAGGUGUGUCGGACUGGCUUGUUUUUGUCGUCUGCAUUGUUCUUCUUCGGCUGUGAUAGAGGGCUUUUCGAUUCUGGCGGGGUGUCACCGUUGGCCUAAAGGCUCAUGUG
rnacentral:misc_RNA from 1 species